rnacentral:rRNA from 1 species
UACGUAGGGUGCAAGCGUUGUCCGGAAUUAUUGGGCGUAAAGAGCUCGUAGGCGGUUUGUCGCGUCGGCUGUGAAAACCUGGGGCUUAACUCCGGGCCUGCAGCCGAUACGGGCAGCUAGAGUUCGGCAGGGGAGACUGGAAUUCCUGGUGUAGCGGUGAAAUUGCGCAGAUAUCAGGAGGAACACCGGUGGCGAAGGGCGGGG